rnacentral:rRNA from 1 species
UACAGAGGGUGCAAGCGUUAAUCGGAAUUACUGGGCGUAAAGGGUGCGUAGGUGGUUUUUUAAGUCAGAUGUGAAAACCCUGGGCUUAACCUAGGAAUUGCAUAUGAAACUGAGAAACUAGAGUGCGGUAGAGGGAAGUGGAAUUUCCGGUGUAGCGGUGAAAUGCGUAGAUAUCGGAAGGAACACCAGUGGCGAAGGCGACUUCCUGGACCGUUACUGACACUGAGGCACGAAAGCGUGGGGAGCGAACAGG